rnacentral:rRNA from 1 species
GAUGAACGCUGGCGGCGUGCCUAAUACAUGCAAGUCGAGCGAAGCGGGGACGGGUGAGUAACACGUGGACACCCACCUAUAUGACUGGGAUAACUUGGGGAAACCGGAGAUAAACGGGAUACUUAUAGCUGGAUACGCGCUGCAUUAGCUAGUUGGUAAGGGAACGGCUUACCAGGGCAACGGUGCAUAGCCGACCUGAGAGGGUGAUCGGCCACACUGGAACUGAGACACGGUCCAGCAUCCUGCGUGGGGCAGCAGUAGGGAAUCUUCCGCAUUGGGCGAAAGCCUAACGGGGCAACCCGGCGUGAGUGAUGAGGUUCUUCGGAUCGUAAGACUCUGUUAUUAGGGAAGCGGUACCUAAUCAGAAAGCCACGGCUAACUACGUGCCAGCAGCCGCGGUAAUUC